rnacentral:rRNA from 1 species
CCUACGGGAGGCAGCAGUGAGGAAUAUUGGUCAAUGGACGAGAGUCUGAACCAGCCAAGUAGCGUGAAGGAUGACUGCCCUAUGGGUUGUAAACUUCUUUUAUUUGGGAAUAAAACGUUCCACGUGUGGGAUUUUGUAUGUACCAUAUGAAUAAGGAUCGGCUAACUCCGUGCCAGCAGCCGCGGUAAUACGGAGGAUCCGAGCGUUAUCCGGAUUUAUUGGGUUUAAAGGGAGCGUAGGUGGAUUGUUAAGUCAGUUGUGAAAGUUUGCGGCUCAACCGUAAAAUUGCAGUUGAAACUGGCAGUCUUGAGUACAGUAGAGGUGGGCGGAAUUCGUGGUGUAGCGGUGAAAUGCUUAGAUAUCACGAAGAACUCCGAUUGCGAAGGCAGUUCACUGGACUGCAACUGACACUGAGGCUCGAAAGUGUGGGUAUCAAACAGGAUUAGAUACCCCAGUAGUC